rnacentral:hammerhead_ribozyme from 1 species
AUCCAGCUGACCAGUCCCCAAUUAGGACGAAACGCGCAUCCUGGAU